CCCUUAGAUGUCCUGGGCCGCACGCGCGCUACACUGACAUGUUCAACAAGCCUCCUAGUUCGACAGGAUUUGGGAAAUCUUUGAACGCAUGUCGUGAUAGGGAUAGAUCAUUGCAAUUAUUGAUCUUGAACGAGGAAUUCCUAGUAAACGCGAGUCAUCAGCUCGCAUUGAUUACGUCCCUGCCCUUUGUACACACUGCCCGUCGCACCUACCGAUUGAAUGUUUCGGUGAAGAUUCCGGAUAGGACUUUUUUGAUUUAUUUCAAUUUUGUCUUAAAAGCUAUCUAAACCUCAACAUUUAGAGGAAGGUGAAGUCGUAACA
rnacentral:rRNA from 1 species